AGUUAUUUAGCUUAUAAAAAGCAUAUAUUUUGAAAAUAUAAGAAAGAGUUUUAUUUAAUAACUU
rnacentral:tRNA from 1 species